UCUCCGAUCGUAUAGUGGCUAGUAUGCCAGCUUGUCAAAGGACAAUCGUCCUGCAACUUCGCUGGAGACCGGGGUUCAAUUCCCCGUCGGAGAG